rnacentral:rRNA from 1 species
GAUGAACGCUGGCGGCGUGCCUAAUACAUGCAAGUCGAGCGAACAGACGAGGAGCUUGCUCCUCUGACGUUAGCGGCGGACGGGUGAGUAACACGUGGAUAACCUACCUAUAAGACUGGGAUAACUUCGGGAAACCGGAGCUAAUACCGGAUAAUAUAUUGAACCGCAUGGUUCAAUAGUGAAAGACGGUUUUGCUGUCACUUAUAGAUGGAUCCGCGCCGCAUUAGCUAGUUGGUAAGGUAACGGCUUACCAAGGCAACGAUGCGUAGCCGACCUGAGAGGGUGAUCGGCCAAACUGGAACUGAGACACGGUCCAGACUCCUACGGGAGGCAGCAGUAGGGAAUCUUCCGCAAUGGGCGAAAGCCUGACGGAGCAACGCCGCGUGAGUGAUGAAGGUCUUCGGAUCGUAAAACUCUGUUAUUAGGGAAGAACAAAUGUGUAAGUAACUAUGCACGUCUUGACGGUACCUAAUCAGAAAGCCACGGCUAACUACGUGC